AUUGAACGCUGGCGGCAGGCCUAACACAUGCAAGUCGAGCGGAUGAAGGGAGCUUGCUCCUGGAUUCAGCGGCGGACGGGUGAGUAAUGCCUAGGAAUCUGCCUGGUAGUGGGGGACAACGUUUCGAAAGGAACGCUAAUACCGCAUACGUCCUACGGGAGAAAGCAGGGGACCUUCGGGCCUUGCGCUAUCAGAUGAGCCUAGGUCGGAUUAGCUAGUUGGUGAGGUACUGGCUCACCAAGGCGACGAUCCGUAACUGGUCUGAGAGGAUGAUCAGUCACACUGGAACUGAGACAAGGUCCAGAGUCCUACGGGAGGCAGCAGUGGGGAAGAUUGGACAAUGGGCGAAAGCCUGAUCCAGCCAUGCCGCGUGUGUGAAGAAGGUCUUCGGAUUGUAAAGCACUUUAAGUUGGGAGGAAGGGUUGUAGAUUAAUACUCUGCAAUUUUGGCGUUACCGACAGAAUAAGCACCGGCUAACUCUGUGCCAGCCGCCGCGGUAA
rnacentral:rRNA from 1 species